rnacentral:rRNA from 1 species
UACGUAGGGGGCAAGCGUUAUCCGGAUUUACUGGGUGUAAAGGGAGCGUAGACGGCAUGGCAAGUCAGAUGUGAAAGCCCGGGGCUCAACCCCGGGACUGCAUUUGAAACUGUCAGGCUGGAGUGCAGGAGAGGUAAGCGGAAUUCCUAGUGUAGCGGUGAAAUGCGUAGAUAUUAGGAGGAACACCAGUGGCGAAGGCGGCUUACUGGACUGUAACUGACGUUGAGGCUCGAAAGCGUGUGGAGCAAACAGG